GACGGACCUUCGAAAUUUGGCCCCAGAGAACACUAAUAGCUCGCAGGUCGCAUGGGACUCUAAGAACGACCAUCGAAAUUUGGCCUGAGAGAACACCAAUAGGUAGCAUGAAGAAGGACCUUCGAAAUUUGGCUCCAGAGAACACCAAUAGGUAGCAUGAAGAAGGACCUUCGAAAUUUGGCCCCAGAGAACACCAAUAGGU